rnacentral:rRNA from 1 species
GACGAACCGUCCAAACGUUAUUCGGAAUUACUGGGCUUAAAGGGUGCGUAGGCGGCGCGGAAAGUUGGGUGUGAAUCCCUCGGCUCAACCGAGGAACUGCGCCCAAAACUACCGUGCUCGAGGGAGAUAGAGGUGAGCGGAACUUAGGGUGGAGCGGUGAAAUGCGUUGAUAUCCUAAGGAACACCCGUGGCGAAAGCGGCUCACUGGGUCUCUUCUGACGCUGAGGCACGAAAGCUAGGGUAGCGAACGGGGAUUAGAACCCGGUCGAUACCGACC